CUUAACCGACUGCGCCACCCAGGGACCCCGGGGGAUGCUAGUUUUAAUGCACAGGUCAGUGGAAUUUCUAUCUAACCAACUGGAAGGCAGCCAAACUAAACUGAUCAGAAGACCAUGUUUGAGACUGGUACCACAUUAUCUGGGAUUUUCUCUGCGGCCUAAAAAUCAUUUAUAUUAAAGCAAGAGCUGCAAGCCUCUGAAAGAGUAGGAACAUACUACUUCUGAGGAUGGGGAACAGAAGCAAAAGGCAUAUGCUAUUGUGGGAGGACCAGGAACCCCCAAGUGUUCCUGCCUAAGAUUUCUGAAUUACACAAGUCAGAUUUUCACUACUUUGGACAGGAUAAAUUUUAGCCCAUUGUUGAAAUCUGCAUCUCCCUCAAUUUCUGUGAAGGCUAUGAAGGCUGUGAAAAGUUUCCUUUUAAUGUUAUGUACAGUUUGUGAUUAAAAUAUAAAUGGUUAUUAAUUUGAUAAAGAAUUUAGUUUUAUCAAAUAAAGACUACUACAUGGAAAAGUAAUGUCUCCCAAUUUCUUCUAGUGAUACUUCUUGUGACUCGUGGAAACUGAAGUCUGCAUGUAUUCUAAAUUUUUAAUGUAAAUUUUCUUAUUUAUGGCUUUUACUUUCACUUUCUAAGUUCCCUUCAAAGGAAAGCAAAUUUGUUUGCAUGUUACUUUACUAACUAUAGCUGCUGCUAGAUAAUUGCCACCAUUCGGGGUCAUCAUAUACUGCUCUCUACACUAUGUUGUGGUUGUCUCUGUUUUUAUUUCUGGGAUUAGCAUCUGCUGUGACUAUAAAUGUCAAAAUAGAAAUAUUUAAGAAAAAAGUAAAAAAAAACAUUCUCAACAAAAAUGGGUCAAGACAACACUGACAUUCUCAAGUGGAUAAUUAAGUUAAUUUUCUGGAUCA